UACGUAGGAGGCGAGCGUUGUCCGGAUUUACUGGGCGUAAAGCGCGCGCAGGCGGCCCUUCAAGUAAGGUGUGAAAUCUCCCUGCUCAACGGGGAGGGUGCACUUUAGACUGAGGAGCUAGAGGACGGUAGAGGGGGGUGGAAUUGCUGGUGUAGCGGUGAAAUGCGUAGAGAUCAGCAGGAACACCCGUGGCGAAGGCGGCCCCCUGGGCCGUACCUGACGCUGAGGCGCGAAGGCUAGGGGAGCGAACGGG
rnacentral:rRNA from 1 species